GCGCAGGUGGGACUCCUGGUGUGGCAGAGGUCAGACGGCAAUCGGCAGGUCGCGGUGGGGUCACGCCUCAAGACCCCGUCCCUGCCGAUCUGGGUCACGCGAUGCAACGGCUCCUAUGGGGUCCUUUUCAACCCCAAUCGGGAGCUGCUGAGGGACUACCACGCUGAGAACAGGUUCAACCUCUACUACUACUCGUGCUCGUCCAACCACCCGACGCCCACCCUCGUGACCAUCGACGCCCGCACGCCCACCGCCACCGAGGAGUUCAGCGCCCCCGACCUCGAGAACCUCAUCCACACCAAGUGGAACGACGCAACAGUUACCUGGAAUGGAACCAUGCCUUACGUUUAAGCAAAGAACCCCAAACGCAUCGAGAAAUUACCUCCCGACCUGUCCCUGCAGUCUUCAUCUGGAGAUCUCCACUGCCUUUCCUCGUGCAUUGCAAGCUCUUCCUCAUGCUCCAUCUUCUAUACUCAUUGACUUACUUUACUCACACUAUUUGCCCUUAUAUUUUCUCAUGAUAACUCUUUUUUUUUUUUUUUUGCUACUCUUUUGGCAGUAUACUAGAACCCUUUUUAUACUCAUUGACUUACUUUACUCACACUAUUUGCCCUUAUAUUUUCUCAUGAUAACUCUUUUUUUUUUGCUACUCU